ACACGACAGAGGUUGGAAAGAUCAAUGAAGGUGUAAUAUUGUCUGCCCAUGAGGACAAGUUCAAUGUGAAUAGCAAUGGAGAAAGAAAUGGUUUUACGUCGCCCUCAAGAAGAGAUUCGAAAUCCCAUCCUGAACAAUUAGACAACACAGUCACAGAUGAGAAGCACAGCACGAUCUGGUAUUGCCGAUUCGUUGUGUCGCAUACUAGAUUGGCUUUCGG